GUAUAGGCAUGGCUCCUUAUGAUGCCUUAUAUAGGAGACCAUGCAGAUCACCUUUGUGUUGGGCAGAACCAGAUUAGCAUGUCACAAUUGGAUCUCAAAUUUCUAGUACUACUGGGAAGAUCAAAGUUUUUUUUUUUUUUUCCAAGAAAGACUUAAGGUUGUUCAAAGUCGUUAGGAGAGUUAUGCCGAUCUCCUCCGAUGAGAAGUUGAGUUUGAGGUUGGUGACUAUGUCUUAUUGAAAGUUACUCCUAUGCGUGGUGUGACGAGAUUUGGAGUGAAGGGUAAGCUAGCCCCGAGGUAUAUUGGACCUUUCGAGGUUAUCGAGAGUGAUGGGGAGGUCGCUUAUCGAUUGAACUUACCAGCGCGGUUGGGGCAUGUUCACAAUGUGUUCCAUGUGUCGAUGCUGAGAAAGUAUACUCCAGACCCAUCACACAUCAUUAGGUAUGAGGCUAUCCCUCUUCAAGAUGACGUGACAUGUGAAGAACAACCUAUCAGAAUUCUAGCGAGAGAGUUAAAGGUGCUAAGGAAUAGAGAGAUUCCCGUAGUCAAGGUCUUAUGGCGAAACCAUAGAGAAGACGAGGCUACUUGGGAGUUAGAGUUGGAGUUGUAUGAGAAGUAUCCUCAUUUGUAUAAUUUUCAGCUUGGGGUUGUACUUUGAAAAUUUCGGGACGAAAUUUCUUUAAGGAAGGAAGAAUGUAGAGACUCAGAAAAAGAAAAAAAAAAGUAUUAUUUAAAUUUUUUUUUUUUGUGGGUGGGACCCACCUAAGUAAAUGAGUCAGUACUCAUUUUUUUCUUCUUUUCUUUCCUUCUUCUUUUCCCUUCUCUCUCCCCGAAACCCCUUCUUCUUCUCCCUUUUUCUUUUCUUUUCUUUCCUUUGUUUUCUCUCCAAACCAGUCACGGCCACAACCAGUUGGACCACCGCCGGAGUGCCAUUUCCGACACGCGCCGCUGCAGCUUCCCUGACUGGCGUUGACGAAAACCCCAAAGUUUGGUGGCCAUCGGAGCAAGGACGCGCCUAUACAGCCACUCCGAAGUUUCGCCGUUGAAACUUUGAGGUGACUUUUCGGACAACUCCGACCACCAUUCAGCGAGUGGGUGGUACCGUUGGAAUCAGCGUCCUGAGAGGAUCGUCGCCCACUAAGUCAUUCCGGUCAACUCACCAUUUUUCUCCGGCGAGAUUUUGGGUAUCUUCGCCCCUUUGGAAGCAUUUUCCGGCGACACCGAAGGUCAUUUGGGCGAAGGAGCUGUACUUUCGUGAUGUACUCAUCGGGAUGAUCGUUUUGAUAUAUACCAUGCAUAUAUUCGUUGACGUUUCCAGUACCGCCACCAACCGCUAUUGUGCACCGCUUGGGAAAAACGUGAUAUUAAAAUCGGACUAAAUCAUUCUAAGAUCAUCGAUAAGCUUAGGAGCGUUGCUUUGGGCUCGGAUUAAAUUCUAAGGAGAUAUCUAAAGAGGAGCCUAGUGACGCGAACGUGGAAAUGAUGAAUUAUCGAUGGAGCCAAUGUGUUUAGCCUAUUUCUAUUUCGGGUCAUUGUCUUAUCUUUUGAGCAUUAUAUAUGUAUUCGACUUCGAACCUAAUGAUCGGUAUAUCUGAAUGAGCUAUGAAAUAGUUAGGGAUGAGGAAUGGUGGAUGCUAAGUAUUAUUUUGAGUGUUUAUGACUUAUUAAAUUUAA